rnacentral:rRNA from 1 species
GACGUAGGAUGCGAGCGUUAUUCGGAUUUAUUGGGCGUAAAGCGUGCGUAGGCGGCUGUUUAAGUCUGGUGUUAAAGCUAGGGGCUCAACCCCUGUGAUGCACUGGAAACUGGGCAGCUUGAGUGCGGUAGGGGAAGGUGGAAUUCCGAGUGUAGCGGUGAAAUGCGUAGAUAUUCGGAAGAACACCGGUGGCGAAGGCAGGUCUCUGGGCAUUAACUGACGCUGAGGAGCGAAAGCAUGGGGAGCGAACAGGG